CUGAGCUGAGUAGAGGGUUCCAGUCAGUCCAUGCUGCUUUCAUCAGUAUCGUCCUAAACACAGUGGUACUGAUUAUAAAUAGGAGGAUGAGCUGUGUCCUGAUGAUCCAGAGGUUGAAGCAGACUCUGACUGGACCAUAUUUCUACAGUGUAACCCUGAAAUAAAUGUCUUAUUUUCACCAUUAA